rnacentral:rRNA from 1 species
GAUGAACGCUGGCGGCGUGCCUAAUACAUGCAAGUCGGGCGAACGGACGAGAAGCUUGCUUCUCUGAUGUUAGCGGCGGACGGGUGAGUAACACGUGGAUAACCUACCUAUAAGACUGGGAUAACUUCGGGAAACCGGAGCUAAUACCGGAUAAUAUUUUGAACCGCAUGGUUCAAAAGUGAAAGACGGUCUUGCUGUCACUUAUAGAUGGAUCCGCGCUGCAUUAGCUAGUUGGUAAGGUAACGGCUUACCAAGGCAACGAUGCAUAGCCGACCUGAGAGGGUGAUCGGCCACACUGGAACUGAGACACGGUCCAGACUCCUACGGGAGGCAGCAGUAGGGAAUCUUCCGCAAUGGGCGAAAGCCUGACGGAGCAACACCGCGUGAGUGAUGAAGGUCUUCGGAUCGUAAAACUCUGUUAUUAGGGAAGAACAUAUGUGUAAGUAACUGUGCACAUCUUGACGGUACCUAAUCAGAAAGCCACGGCUAACUACGUG